rnacentral:rRNA from 1 species
GCCGCCGCGGGAACACCGGCGGCCCGAGUGGUGAUCGUGAUUAUUGGGUCUAAAGGGUCCGUAGCCGGUUUGGUCAGUCCUCCGGGAAAUCUGAUAGCUCAACUAUUAGGCUUUCGGGGGAUACUGCCAGACCUGGAACCGGGAGAGGUAAGAGGUACUACAGGGGUAGGAGUGAAAUCUUGUAAUCCCUGUGGGACCACCUGUGGCGAAGGCGUCUUACCAGAACGGGUUCGACGGUGAGGGACGAAAGCUGGGGGCACGAACCGGAUUAGAUACCCGGGUAGUCCCAGCCGUAAACGAUGCUCGCUAGGUGUCAGGCAUGGCGCGACCGUGUCUGGUGCCGCAGGGAAGCCGUGAAGCGAGCCACCUGGGAAGUACGGCCGCAAGGCUGAAACUUAAAGGAAUUGGCGGGGGAGCACAACAACGGGUGGAGCCCUGCGGUUUAAUUGGACUCAACGCCGGACAACUCACCGGGGGCGACAGCAAUAUGUAGGCCAAGCUGAAGACUUUGCCUGAAUCGCUGAGAGGUGGUGCAUGG